AGAGUUUGAUCCUGGCUCAGGACGAACGCUGGCGGCACGCUUAACACAUGCAAGUCGAACGGAGAACAUUGAGCUUGCUUAAUGUUCUUAGUGGCGGACGGGUGAGUAACACGUGAGUAACCUGCCUCUGAGAGUGGGAUAGCUUCUGGAAACGGAUGGUAAUACCGCAUAACAUCAUGGAUUCGCAUGUUUCUAUGAUCAAAGAUUUAUCGCUCAGAGAUGGACUCGCGUCUGAUUAGAUAGUUGGUGAGGUAACGGCCCACCAAGUCGACGAUCAGUAGCCGGACUGAGAGGUUGACCGGCCACAUUGGGACUGAGACACGGCCCAGACUCCUACGGGAGGCAGCAGUGGGGAAUAUUGCACAAUGGGGGAAACCCUGAUGCAGCGAUGCCGCGUGGAGGAAGAAGGUUUUCGGAUUGUAAACUCCUGUCGAAGAGGACGAUAAUGACGGUACACUUUAAGAAAGCUCCGGCUAACUACGUGCCAGCAGCCGCGGU
rnacentral:rRNA from 1 species